rnacentral:rRNA from 1 species
UACGAAGGGGGCUAGCGUUGCUCGGAAUCACUAGGCGUAAAGCGCACGUAGGCGGACUCUUAAGUCGGUGGUGAAAUCCUGGAGCUCAACUCCAGAACUGCCUUCGAUACUGGGAGUCUCGAGUUCGGGAGAGGUGAGUGGAACUGCGAGUGUAGAGGUGAAAUUCGUAGAUAUUCGCAAGAACACCAGUGGCGAAGGCGGCUCACUGGCCCGAUACUGACGCUGAGGUGCGAAAGCGUGGGGAGCAAACAGG